rnacentral:rRNA from 1 species
UCUAGCGAGACUGCCGGUAAUAAACCGGAGGAAGGUGGGAUGACGUCAAAUCAUCAUGCCCCUUAUGACCUGGGCUACACACGUGCUACAAUGGUUGGUACAACGAGUUGCGAGUCGGUGACGGCGAGCUAAUCUCUUAAAGCCAAUCUCAGUUCGGAUUGUAGGCUGCAACUCGCCUACAUGAAGUCGGAAUCGCUAGUAAUCGCGGAUCAGCACGCCGCGGUGAAUACGUUCCCGGGCCUU